GACGAACGCUGGCGGCGUGCUUAACACAUGCAAGUCGAACGGAAAGGCCCUGCUUUUGUGGGGUGCUCGAGUGGCGAACGGGUGAGUAACACGUGAGUAACCUGCCCUUGACUUUGGGAUAACUUCAGGAAACUGGGGCUAAUACCGGAUAGGAGCUCCUGCUGCAUGGUUGGGGUUGGAAAGUUUCGGCGGUUGGGGAUGGACUCGCGGCUUAUCAGCUUGUUGGUGGGGUAGUGGCUUACCAAGGCUUUGACGGGUAGCCGGCCUGAGAGGGUGACCGGCCACAUUGGGACUGGGAUACGGCCCAGACUCCUACGGGAGGCAGCAGUGGGGAAUAUUGCACGAUGGGCGGAAGCCUGAUGCAGCAACGCCGCGUGCGGGAUGACGGCCUUCGGGUUGUAAACCGCUUUCGCCUGUGACGAAGCGUGAGUGACGGUAAUGGGUAAAGAAGCACCGGCUAACUACGUG
rnacentral:rRNA from 1 species